GUUCUGGGUAUAAGCUUUCGUGUGCAUGCACGAAAUUUGUGUAUCUGAAGAAGUGUGCAUGCACACGAAAGCUUAUACCCAGAAC